rnacentral:rRNA from 1 species
UCCGACUGCUAUCCGGGUAAGGCUAAGCCAUGCAAGUUGAAUGGAAUUGCUAAUUCCAUAGCGCACUGCUCAGUAACAAGUGAUUAACUUACCCUUAGGUGGAGCAUAACCUCGGGAAACUGAGGCUAAUUCUCCAUAGUUAGAUUUUCCUGGAAUGGUGAUCUAUCGAAAGAUAUUCCGAAAUGCCGGAUGUUUGCCUAAGGAUAGGAUCGCUCUCGAUUACGGUAGUUGGUGAGGUAAUGGCUCACCAAGCCUCUGAUCGAUAAGGGCCGUGAGAGCGGUAGCCCUGAGAUGGAUACUGAGACAAUGAUCCAGGCCUUACGAGGCGCAGCAGGCGCGAAACCUUUACAAUGCACGAAAGUGUGAUAAGGUUACCCGGAGUGCUCAGAAUUAAAUUUUGAGCUGUUAUGGGUGCGUAAAUAACCCCAUGAGAAAGGAGAGGGCAAGGCUGGUGCCAGCCGCCGCGGUAAAACCAGCUCUUCAAGUGGUCGGGAUUUUUAUUGGGCUUAAAGUGUCCGUAGCCGGUUUAGAAAGUUCCUGGUCAAAUCUGGCAGCUUAACUGUCAGGUCGCUAGGAAUACUACUUUACUAGAGGGUGGGAGAGGUCAGAGGUACUCCAGGGGUAGCGGUGAAAUGCGAUAAUCCUUGGGGGACCACCAGUGGCGAAGGCGUCUGACUGGAACACGCCUGACGGUGAGGGACGAAAGCCAGGGGAGCGAAUGGGAUUAGAUACCCCGGUAGUCCUGGCUGUAAACGAUGCGUGCUGGGUGUUGGUAGGGCUAUGAGCCGUAUCAGUGCCGUAGGAAAACUGUUAAGCGCGCCGCCUGGGAAGUACGCUCGCAAGAGUGAAAUUUAAAGGAAUUGGCGGGGGAGCACCACAAGGGGUGAAGCCUGCGGUUC